rnacentral:rRNA from 1 species
GUGGGGAAUCUUAGACAAUGGGCGCAAGCCUGAUCUAGCCAUGCCGCGUGAGCGAUGAAGGCCUUAGGGUUGUAAAGCUCUUUCGUGGGGGAAGAUAAUGACUGUACCCCAAGAAGAAGCCCCGGCUAACUCCGUGCCAGCAGCCGCGGUAAUACGGAGGGGGCUAGCGUUGUUCGGAAUUACUGGGCGUAAAGCGCACGUAGGCGGACUGGAAAGUCAGGGGUGAAAUCCCGGGGCUCAACCCCGGAACUGCCUUUGAAACUCCCAGUCUUGAGGUCGAGAGAGGUGGGUGGAAUUCCGAGUGUAGAGGUGAAAUUCGUAGAUAUUCGGAUGAACACCAGUGGCGAAGGCGGCUCACUGGCUCGAUACUGACGCUGAGGUGCGAAAGCGUGGGGAGCAAACAGGAUUAGAUACCCCGGUAGUCC